UGAGGAAUAUUGCACAAUGGGGGAAACCCUGAUGCAGCAACGCCGCGUGGAGGAUGAAGGCCCUUGGGUCGUAAACUCCUUUUUUGAGGGAAGAGAAAGGACGGUACCUCAAGAAUAAGUCACGGCUAACUACGUGCCAGCAGCCGCGGUAAUACGUAGGUGACAAGCGUUAUCCGGAUUUACUGGGCGUAAAGCGCACGCAGGCGGCUAUUCAAGUCUGAUGUGAAAUCUCUCGGCUUAACCGGGAGCGGUCGUUGGAUACUGUUUAGCUUGAGGCAAUGAGAGGGGUACGGAAUUCCAGGUGUAGUGGUGGAAUGCGUAGAUAUCUGGAGGAACACCAGUGGCGAAAGCGGUACCCUGGCAUUGUCCUGACGCUCAUGUGCGAAAGCGUGGGUAGCGAACGGGAUUAGAUACCCCCGUAGUCC
rnacentral:rRNA from 1 species